rnacentral:rRNA from 1 species
GAAAGAUGGCUUUGGCUAUCACUCUGGGAUGGACCUGCGGUGCAUUAGCUAGUUGGUAAGGUAACGGCUUACCAAGGCGAUGAUGCAUAGCCGAGUUGAGAGACUGAUCGGCCACAAUGGAACUGAGACACGGUCCAUACUCCUACGGGAGGCAGCAGUAGGGAAUCUUCCACAAUGGGCGCAAGCCUGAUGGAGCAACACCGCGUGAGUGGAGAAGGGUUUCGGCUCGUAAAGCUCUGUUGUUGGAGAAGAACGUGCGUGAGAAUAACUGUUCACGCAGUGACGGUAUCCAACCAGAAAGUCACGGCUAACUACGUGCCAGCAGCCGCGGUAAUACGUAGGUGGCAAGCGUUAUCCGGAUUUAUUGGGCGUAAAGCGAGCGCAGGCGGUUGCUUAGGUCUGAUGUGAAAGCCUUCGGCUUAACCGAAGAAGUGCAUCGGAAACCGGGCGACUUGAGUGCAGAAGAGGACAGUGGAACUCCAUGUGUAGCGGUGGAAUGCGUAGAUAUAUGGAAGAACAUCAGUGGCGAAGGCGGCUGUCUGGUCUGCAACUGACGCUGAGGCUCGAAAGCAUGGGUAGCGAACAGGAUUAGAUACCCUGGUAGUCCAUGCCGUAAACGAUGAGUGCUAGGUGUUGGAGGGUUUCCGCCCUUCA